AAGAGGAGAAGGCUGUGAAAGUCGCGGAGGAUAUGAAGAAAUAGCGAAGUAGGAAAGUGCCAUCAGAGUGAAGUCGCUCAGUCAGUCACAGUUGCCAGAUUAUCGUACUCAGAGCCGUGUAUUUACCGGUUUCUGGCCCAUAACCGUUGCCAAGAAGCAUCAAUCCUUAACCAUUUAAACGAUAACCAUACAUGAAGGCAGUUAUUUGGGUGAUGAAAGCAGUUUUUGGGUCGGAAAUCGGCAAACAUAAGAGGCAGAGUACGACAAUCUGGCAACGUUGCAGUCAGUGGUUCGAAGCAUGAGUCGAGUGGUGACGAGCUGCGGGGAAGUUCAGUAGGUGCAUGGCGCCCGGCGAGAGUGGUGACCGGCUGGGCUGCAUUAGUGUCGUCGAGGGUCAAGGAUUGUGAUCAGUGAGGACCCAGCAGAGCAUCCAGGAGCCGGACAAGCAAUUAUUAAGGAUCAGUAAAGGACGCCAUUCAAGAGCAGCAAUGACAGAAAACAAAAGCACCUGCUCAGCGCUGUUCCAGCAAUAAGAUGAUAGAGUGUCCAAGAGAGGGUCGACUUCAGAAGGAAUAUCAGCAUUAAGAGUACACUUGCAAUGCCAACCAGCCUGGUAUCAUGUGACAAGGGCUACAGUGAAGGGCAGAACUAAGCAAUACACAAAGGGCUGCAGCAUCUCAAGCAGUAUGCAAAGCCCAGUUUGCUAGUGGAGGUUUGGCUGGAUUGUUCGGUCUUCCUUGUUGGAGUUCUUGACAAACUCCUUCAGCAUCGUCAUCACCUCGUUGUCAAACUCUUGAGGGGUCGGCUGCACACCUGUGGGAUAUUGUUAGUUUCAGGCUAAAUCUCUUGAGGAUCUUGGAGCAGGCUGGAGCCUCAGAGGUGUUUGCGCAUGGCCCAAUAACGUGUGGAUACACCCUGACACUUCAAUCCAAUCUGGAUGAGAGGGGCUCGUAGCCAUGGUAGACAAUCCACCCGGGAGAGGGAAAACUGUUGACUACAAACCCGGGCAGGUGAAGUUUUUUUUCUUUUAACGUCCCUGCCUGUGGCCCUGGUAGGCUUUCUUGGUGGUGUCUGGUGCGGUGCCAGCCCCAGCCUGUUAUGGUGCAGGCAAAUGUUUAUAGUGGUGUCUUGAUAGGCAAUUCACCUAGGCCCUCACCUGAAAACUGUCUGACAGGAAGGGUAUCCUGAGACAAAAUCAUGCCCCAAACCAAGAUGAACAAUGACAACAUUACUGAUCUGUCCAACCCCAAAGGGAAAUAUGAGGCCAUGAAGAGAAGAAAACUAUUCAUAACUGUUAUGUUUACAAACUGCACUGCCCCACCUGCACAACCUCCCAAAUGAUGACUUGGCAGGACCUUUAGCUAACACCGCUGUCUUGUUACAACUUAUCAGCUUUGUUAUGUUACAAUGUACAAGAUUGCGUGGUUAAUGGAACUUUUCCAAUAUAUCGAAUCCUCAGGCUGUUGUGACAAACCAUUCAUUCCUCCCAGUCAAUAGAAAUAUUUUCACUAGCUCCACAGUUUUGGUUGUUAGUUAUGAAACUCAGGAAUGUUUCUAUCAAUCGCUAGACUUGAGAAAUCUCUAGUUGGAAAAACCAUGUUUCUAUCAAUCACUAGACUUGAGAAAUCUCAAGUUAGAAAAACGCUAGUGGCAGGGCCCCAUUGUAUAGCAAAAUAAAUAAACAUUACUCACUAUGCA